rnacentral:rRNA from 1 species
AUCGAACGCUGGCGGCAGGCUUAACACAUGCAAGUCGAACGAGUGGCGGACGGGUGAGUAAUGCUUGGGAAUUUAGCUGUUGGCGGGGGAUAACUACGGGAAACUGUAGCUAACACCGCGUACCAUAGGAUGAGCCCAAGUGGGAUUGGGUAGUUGGUGAGGUAAAGGCUUACCAAGCCGACGAUCUCUAGCUGGUCUGAGAGGAUGAGCAGCCACACGGGGACUGAGACACGGCCCAGACUCCUACGGGAGGCAGCAGUGGGGAAUAGUGCGCAAUGGGGGCAACCUGACGCAGCCAUGCCGCGUGAAUGAAGAAGGCCUUCGGGUUGUAAAGUUCUUUCGGUAGCGAGGCGUUAACUACAGAAGAAGCACCGGCUAACUCCGUGCCAGCAGCCGCGGUAAUAC